rnacentral:lncRNA from 1 species
AUAUAAGGGUGCCACUGUGAGGUCCUAUGAAGAAGAAAGUGAAAAGAAAAAAUUUAUUUUUUUGCAAAAUCCUAGAUCUUGAAACCUUAGGUGUCAUUGUAUGUGAUGCAAGUUACAAAGAUAGUUAGUUACAUCUAAUCUUGUUUAGUCAAAAUUAUUUUGAUAUAAAAUUAUAAAAAAAUUAGAUUUGAUCUAAAAGAUUUUAUGACUUGA